GUCCAGUUUUACUUUAAACCAUUAGUCUAGCUUUUGUUUUGAAAAAUUAUUUAACUUCGUACCUACACUUAUUUUCUACGUUUUUGUAGACAAAUAUUUUCGUUUUAUUUAUUUUUCGUAGCACUUAUCAUUUAAGUACGAGUUUAUUAUUCAGUAAAAAAAAUGGUAACCUCAUCAUGUACUUUAACCAAAUCAACUAAAUAAAAAUACACCAACGAAAAUAUUCUACAAAACAUAGACAAUAAUUCAAACAUAUCCAAUACAUUUUCAAAAUAUAAAUUAGGCAACAAGCGGUAGUGAAUACAUUUCUACUCCAGCUUAUGGAUAUAAAAGUCAUAUUUGUCCGUAAAAACAGCCGUAUCUUUUCCCUUUAAAUGGGUAUCAGACAGGAGAUUAUUGAAAAAAUCUUAUCACUAAGAUAAAUGGUCGUUAAAAGAUAAAAAUGUAUUUUUAAAUUGUCCAAAUCUGAAAAAGUUUGGAAAUUGUUUCCAGCCCUCUUACCGCUAUAUAUUAAACCAGGGAAAAUAUACAAGUUGCGAUCCAUUUUCCCCCCUCCCAAAUAACGCAUCACUGCAGGUUAAACGAUAAAAUGUAUCCCUUAGCUCGUAUAACGGCAAAUUUUCAAUACGCGAGAAAAAUUAUAUUAAAACACUUCGAUGUUUCUCGUCGAUGUUAAAAAAUUGUUUUCAUCGCACGGGAAAUUGUUUCCAUACAUUGUUUGACCGGAAUUGAAAAAAAAUUGAUCGCCGUAUUAUGGUGAUAUCGUAUAUCGCAUUAUGGUCUUGGUCUGCGAUGAACAGCUUUAUAAAAAGUCAUAUCGUCGCGGACUCUCGUGUAUACGAGAUCAACGAGCCGGAAACGUUUUCGUGACGAUUUUUCACAGUUGUGCAGUAAACAAUAGUUCGAGUACCUAUACUACCGUCGGAAAUAGCAAAAUUCGUUUCGGUCGAGAUUUCGAUAAAAAAAAUAAUAAAUAAAGCUCUCGUAUAUGACGUAUAUAAUGUAAUACGCGACCAAUAGGAGGUAUAUAGGUGAACAUCUAUAGGUGUAUUCGAUCGAACGGAGAUAAAAAAAAAUCUCCAACUUGUAUAAAACAAAAAUAAAAAAAAAUAAAAAAAAAAAAAAAAAAAUGAAUCCAAUAGUCCAAUAGUCUCUAGAUAACUAUCCGUUCGUCGGGUCUUUAUGUAUUAUUGUAUGCUCCCUUUGCUCCCCGAACCCAAGCAUACGGUUUUCGACGUUAAGUAUUUUGUUUUUUUUUUUUUUCGUUACCGUUUUGUGCAACUCGUGUUUCUUGUUAUCGAAAACAAUAUGUUGUAAUAUUUUAAUAAUCCGUGCGUUAUCGCGUUUUCUAUGAAUUCAUAUAUUAUACGAAAAAUAUUCAGAUAUUUCACAAUGUAAGUAAUAUACAUACAAGCCAUUCAUUGUAAUAGCGAAUUUUUAUUUAAAUCACCAUACCAAUUUAAUCGAAAAUAUGAUUCACCCCCUCCCAUCACCGCUAAUAUUUCUCUGAUGAAAACUACCCCACGGUCAAAUGUUUCUAGUGAAAUUUUACCUGCCUCUCCCACGGUCAAUAAUCACCAGUGAAAUAUUUUUCUCUUAUAGUUUACCGAAGGGUUAUAAAUUCUCUAAUGACAUUUUUUAGGCUUCGCCCUCCCCCCUCCAGUCCCAAAUACAAACUCCCCA